rnacentral:rRNA from 1 species
GUAGGUGGCAAGCGUUGUCCGGAAUUAUUGGGCGUAAAGCGCGCGCAGGCGGUCCUUUAAGUCUGAUGUGAAAGCCCACGGCUCAACCGUGGAGGGUCAUUGGAAACUGGGGGACUUGAGUACAGAAGAGGAAGGCGGAAUUCCAAGUGUAGCGGUGAAAUGCGUAGAGAUUCGGAGGAACACCAGUGGCGAAGGCGGCUUUCUGGUCUGUAACUGACGCUGAGGCGCGAAAGCGUGGGGAGCAAACAGGGAUUAGAUACCCUGGUAGUCCACGCCGUAAACGAUGAGUGCUAAGUGUUAGGGGGGUUUCCGCCCCCUUAGUGCUGCAGCUAACGCAUUAAGCACUCCGCCUGGGGAUACGGCCGCAAGGCUG